GACGAACGCUGGCGGCGUGCCUAAUACAUGCAAGUUGAGCGCUGAGGGUCGGUACUUGUACCAACUGGGUGAGCAGCGAACGGGUGAGUAACGCGUGGGGAAUCUGCCUGUGAGCGGGGGACAACAUGUGGAAACGAAUGCUAAUACCGCAUAAAAACUUUAAACACAAGUGUGAAGUUUGAAAGAUGCAAUUGCCUCAUUCAAAGAUGAUCCCGCGUUGUAUUAGCUAGUUGGUGAGGUAAAGGCGCACCAAGGCGAUGAUACAUAGCCGAACUGAGAGGGUGAUCGGCCGGAUUGGGAGUGUGACACGGCCCAAACUGCCUCGGAAGCCACCAGUAGGGCAACUUGGGCAAUGGACGAAAGUCUGAGCGAGAAGCGCGGCGUGAGUGAAGAGCGUCUUCGGAUCGUAAAACUCGGUUGGUAGAGAAGAACGUUGGUGCGAGUGGAACGCUCAGCAAGUGACGGUAACUACCCAGAAAGGGACGGCUAACUACGUG
rnacentral:rRNA from 1 species